UUGGGAUUUUUUGAUCUUCGGUCUAAACGGGUUGAACCCGUAUAAUCUGUUUAUACACGAUUAAACCUGUUUAUUUAGACGUGUUUAAUCGUGUUAUGUAAUCGUGCAACCCAUUAACUCGUUCAUCUAACUGAAUUUACUAAACUAUCCUUACAUUAACCCUAAUUUCAAAAUUACCUCCUUCAAUCCAGACUCCAAUUUCAUUGAUCUGUUCCAGUAGGAGUCCUGUUUCGCCUUUCAUCCCGAUUCACAGACCUGAUUUCUUUCCUGCAAGCACGGUUCCACCCGAUUUCCUUCGAAAUCGAAGACAGACCUGAUUUCUUGAAUUCUUCCAGAUCCAGCCUCCACUUGAGUCGAAGACAACUUCGACCGUCCGCUCAGACGACAGCACCCAGACAACGAAGGCGACCUUCCGCUGUUCGGUCGACAGCACCCAGAAGAAGGCGACCUUCUGCCGUGCGGUCGACAGCACCCAGGGUCCCAGACGAAGGUGACCUCACCGCGCCUCCUCAAUCUCGGGUCGACCCCGCGACCUCCCUCUCUGAAGCAGGUCUUGUGCUUAAGAUUCCACUUCGAGAGGGCCUUGAAAGUUUGAAGUUCAUCUUUCCCCGUCAAGGUAUCAUCUUUCUUGGUUUUCCUUGAUCUUGAUGUGAAGUCUCGGUUGUUCGGUUGCCUAUUAACUGCUCGAAAACUCUAGAAAACAAUGAAUCCAAUUGAUGAUGCAAAAUGCUCCGGAUUCCCUCACUCAAAAGACCGGAAGAAGGUAGGUCGGCUCGAUCUAGCUAUCCUGUUUCGGAUUGGACGGGGAUGAAGCUAGUCUUCUCUCUGGCAUGGAAUUCUCGCUCAGCUAGUAGCUCACCUUCCGGGGACAGAUGGGCUGGGUCAGUAGCUGUGACAAUAGGAGUUUCAGUCUUAGGCUUUUCUGCGUACCCAGACAAAAGGAAAGGGUAAUGGUUAGCUAGCUGACGAUCGAUCCAAAAAGCCGGAGCCUAGCUAUCCGAUUACUGAGUGUUAGCACUUAGCAGGGAAAACUUGUGAUGUUUCUAGAGUUUGGGGGAGCUCAUUUAAUGACCAUGGCCAUGGUAAUGGCAAAAGCUUUUUGUUCUCUCCUCCUCUGUGUGCCGUGCUGUGAUGUGCUUUGUGAUUUCUGAAUUUUUCGGAAUUAGCUCAGUUUUCAGCUAUUACUUGAACACUAGAAGGGUUGGAUUAUGUUAUCAAAGUUUCUUAUUAGAUAUUCUUUGCUGCAAUCUGUAUCUGAUGGGUGAAACUUAGGUGUAGGGAUUUACAUUUCAUUUUACUCGAUAAAAAGCUCUUUGCUGAGUUUGCUCGACGGGGAAAGUAGUAUGGGUGAAACUGUAACUGUAAGUAGUACCUGUAUACGUAGACUUUUUGUAUAAUUUGGAUGAUUGUUUGAAAUUUUGUUGAGCUGCGGUGCAAUGCAUGGAGGAAACACAAAUAUAGUGCGCCUAUCUUAGUCAACUAAUCUGUAAAUAUUCUGUGUUUUAGCUAUAAUGUCCUCGAGUCAGUUCAAGUCUGGCGUUUUGUAGCUUGUUUUAACGAGGUUCUGAUAAAUUAAUUAUUGCCCAAUCAUUGUUCUUGUCGGGUUAGUUAACUAAUUAUAAGUGACCCUUCUUUGUGAAUGCAACAAUUUUCAGUUGCUUUUCACCCGAAGAUAGUGACCUUUUGUGGAAUUUUUGGUGCAUCUUUCAACAUCAAAGUUUCUUAUUCCUUUGCUAAGGCAGCUUUACCGGAGCAGGUUCUGCAGAUUAUUGAUCUUGUCUUGCUUGGGGAGAGCAAGAACGGGGACGACAGUCAAGGCAUCAGGAGAAGCCGAAGGAGCCACAAGAGGCUCCUUAAGAUUCAAGAGUGUUUGGUAUCAAUCGUGGAAAUAGGAGUGGUUCGCUCUUCUGAAAUUCCGAGAGACAGAAUGAGUGUGGGCGAUGUUGCAGCUGCUCUGCAAGCAAUUCGGAAUAAGCUUCUUGGAAGCUGAGGAAAUUGAAGACUGUCAAAAUGGGAGAACGAUUCAUGGCAUUCGAAGUAUUGUGUAGAUGACAUCUAAAGAAGUGCACCUUAGUGAUGUCCUGGUUCUGCAGAAAUGAGAGCGAACUUGAUUCUCAUACUUUCUCCUAUGAAAGAUUCGUGCCCAAAUUGUGAUUUUUUUUCUUCUCAUUUCUUUUUGGAAAACUUUAAGCAGAUUGUGUUAACGUGUCCGAGUAAUCGGAUUAAACGGAUAAACGGGUCGUGUUAAUGUGUUCGAGUAACUAGAGCGGGUAAACGGUCGUGUAAAUGUGUUCGGAUAAAUGGGUUGAUAGGAUAAACGGGUUGUGUUAACGUGUCCGGGUAAACAGGUUGAUCGAAUGAACAAGUCAUGUUAACGUGUCCGGGUACCGUGUAUAAUCGUGUCGUGUAUACAUGUAUUUAUUAUGAUACGUUUCGAUAAAUAUGUUUAAACGUGUCGUGUACGGGUUGACAUAAAUAUAAAUGUGUCGUGUUCGUAUUUUUAAAAUCUGAUCCGUUUAAUAAUUGUAUAGUGUAUGACUUAUGAUUUUUAUGACACGAACUUCUUUACACACAAUACAUAUAAAUACGACACGACACGAAUUGUGGAUAAAAGCAUAGAAGUGAUGAUAUGUAAAUUCGUUAGCAAGUUUGAAAGAACUUACUUAAAAUUAGAACUCGGGCCAAUCGUCAACGACAAUUCAACAGCUGCCAUCGCCUCCAAUUCAACAGGUUUCCUCACCGCCACUGUCUCCGCCGAAAGAAGAAAUUGAGCAAAAUUAUCCAACUCGACAAUCGAGGGGUGAUGCGGGCCCGCCUACUCAGCCGUCUCAAACGCAAGCGGCACCACGUAGUUGAGAUUUUGUUCAAGAAGCGUCGCCUAGGUCGCUUCCAGUACAAGAAGGCAAUCAGCAAAACCCCAUCCUACAAGCACUCAAGUUAAUUCGGAGGAUUUUGUGGACGCCAAUUUCGAGGUUGAUUUGGCUAAAUCAAUUGUUGGUAAGCCAACACUGUAAAAUCGGCGACUGAACCUUAUGAGAUUGGUGGAAGAAGAGGAAAUUGAAUGCGUUGUGUAUUUGGUGGAGGCAGUAAAGAUUUGCAGGAAUGUAACGGUGGAACUGUCCUGAGACUGGAUGGAUGGUGCGGCAGGAGGUAUUAUUCGAGAUGGUCAAGGGAGAUGGAGGUGAGAUUCUGCACAGAAUGUCGGGAUUGUCACUUAUGUGACGAUGGAGUCGUGGCCGGCGAAAACCGGCCUUGAUUUGGCGUGGGAAUUGGCAGUAUGUAGAUUAAUACUUGAAGUGGACUCGGAGAUUGUAGCUUGCUGGCUCAUACUGCAACGUGGUACAGGGGCCUGGAGUGAUGUGAUUUUAAGGGAGAUUCGAAGGGUGAUGCAGAGGGAUUGGACGGUACUAGUAAAUCAUACCUACCUAGUGGGAAGGUAACAUGUCUACGGAUUAACUUGCAGAUCAUAUGCCCUCACACUACCUGUAGUGGUACAUAAGUUUAGUUUUUGUCCUUCUGUACUCUAUUUACUAUUUUUCGGAGAUGAUGGAGGAAUCGUUAUACUACGGUC